GAGAAUAAUUCGCAAUGGGCGAAAGCCUGACGAUGCGACGCCGCGUGAACGAUGAAGGCCUUCGGGUUGUAACGUUCUUUUGUCCGGGAACAAGAGUGAUCGUCGAAUAGGUGGUCACGAUGAGGGUACAGGAAGAGGAAGCACCGGCUAAUUCCGUGCCAGCAGCUGCGGUAAUACGGAAGGUGCAAGCGUUAGUCGGAAUUACUGGGCGUAAAGGGUGCGUAGGCGGUGAUAUAAGUCGGAUGUGAAAUUCCCAGGCUCAACCUUGGAGCUGCAUCCGAAACUGUACCACUAGAGGAAGGGAGGAGAGAAUGGAAUUCCCUAUGUAGCGGUGAAAUGCGUAGAUAUAUGGAAGAACACCAGUGGCGAAAGCGGUUAUCUAGCCUUAUCCUGACGCUGAGGCGCGAAAGCAAGGGGAGCAAACA
rnacentral:rRNA from 1 species